rnacentral:rRNA from 1 species
GACGAACGCUGGCGGCGUGCUUAACACAUGCAAGUCGAGCGGUAAGGCCCUUUCGGGGGGUACACGAGCGGCGAACGGGUGAGUAACACGUGGGUGACCUGCCUUUAGCUCUGGGAUAAGCCUGGGAAACCGGGUCUAAUACCGGAUAUGACUCCGCGGCGCAUGUUGUGGGGUGGAAAGCCUUGUGCGGCUGGAGAUGGGCCCGCGGCCUAUCAGCUUGUUGGUGGGGUGAUGGCCUACCAAGGCGACGACGGGUAGCCGGCCUGAGAGGGCGACCGGCCACACUGGGACUGAGAUACGGCCCAGACUCCUACGGGAGGCAGCAGUGGGGAAUCUUGCGCAAUGGGCGAAAGCCUGACGCAGCGACGCCGCGUGAGGGAUGACGGCC